UCGAGAAUCUUUCACAAUGGGGGCAACCCUGAUGGAGCGACGCCGCGUGGAGGUUAAGGUCUUCGGAUUGUAAACUCCUGUCAUGCGAGAACAAAGCCCUCACGGGUGUGAUAGUAUCGCAAGAGGAAGAGACGGCUAACUCUGUGCCAGCAGCCGCGGUAAUACAGAGGUGGCAAGCGUUGUUCGGAAUUACUGGGCGUAAAGGGCGCGUAGGCGGUCCUGUCAGUCCCUUGUGAAAUCCCCCGGCUCAACUGGGGAACUGCAAGGGAUACAGCAGGGCUUGAGUUCGGGAGAGGGAAGCGGAAUUCCGGGUGUAGCGGUGAAAUGCGUAGAUAUCCGGAGGAACACCGGUGGCGAAGGCGGCUUCCUGGACCGAUACUGACGCUGAGGCGCGAAAGCUAGGGGAGCAAACGGGAUUAGAUACCCAAGUAGUCCCUGAGCGGGCUGGCAAGGCGCAU
rnacentral:rRNA from 1 species